AUUAUGUUAUUGGUUCAUGACU
rnacentral:snRNA from 1 species